AGUGCAAGUGCUAGGUUAUAUGGUAAAUGUGUGUUUAACUUUAGGAGGGGCUGCCAAAUUAUUUUCUAUAGUGACUGUGCCAUUUUAUAUGCUUGUCAGCAGU
rnacentral:pre_miRNA from 1 species